rnacentral:ncRNA from 1 species
AACAUCGGGACAAGGGGCUUAAUUGCACGCUCAUCAGAUACCACAAAGGGUGUUGGUUCAUUUUGACAGCAGGACGGUGGUCAUGGAAGUCGAAAUCCGCUAAGGAGUGCGUAACAACUCACCUGCCGAAUAUGGAUGGCGGCGCUCAAGGGGCGACCGAUGCCCCACCACUGGUGCAUUUGUCACCAGGG